GUGUUUAGAAUUCAUACAUAAAGUGAUGUGGAGAUUUUUAACCUGGAAAUGAUGUGAUCAAUUUUCUCUUUUAGAAGGAUAACUCUGGAAACAUUGCGUCGACUGGUUUGGAAGGGAAGCAAGAUGGCGGCAAUGAGAAGAUACUGAGUGCUCUUUUUUGGAACCACCUUGUUUCCUCUGAACUUUACAACAUUACUGUUAUGCUAAUGGAGAAAGAAGAGGUCUGUGUUCGCCAAUAAUGUGAAAGUAUUUGAACUUGAGGAAGAUGGCUGGAAAAUAUUAGCUGUUAUUUCUUAUCAUGAAAACAGACUUGAAGCAGAAUCUCUCCAUUCUUUGCUCAUUCUCCUGGAUGCUUGGAAGUGUUAGGAUCAGACAAGAUAACUCCAUGAUCAUAUUUGAUAAGAUCAGCCUCAUCUGUGAAGAUGGUGAUGGUGGUCAUGGUGGUGAUGAUGACGACAGUGGUGAUGGUGAGGUGCUGAUGAGGGUAAUGAUGAUGACGAUGAUGAUAGUGACGAUGAUUUCGUCUCUGUCCCCACUGAUCUAUUAAAAACCUUAAGAAGCUUUUAGUGGAAAUGCCUGGUUGAAGAACUAAGCAGUUGAGUGACCAUGGCACACAGACCCACUAGAACAUCUAUACUAUUGCCACUUUAUGAUUGUUGAAGAUGCUCCUGGGAUGCAGAACAAGGCUACAAGGAAGAAGGAGCUGGAGACUGUGCAUUGCCUUCGGAGCAAGAGAAAAAGUUAAGAAAAAGAUGGAGGACACAAGGAGGGAGGAUUGGGUGGGGCUCUGAUCUGAUAGACGGAUGUGGACUUUGUGGAUUUCAAUGAAGACAGCGAAGUAUCCUUACAGCUCUCUCCACGACCAAGGCUAAGGUUUGGAGAAAGUAUCAAAGAUUGCUGCAGUGGCACCCUGAGAUCUCAGGAAUCCUUCACACUUUUCUACCCAUCACUCUAUGUCCUGUUUCCCUGCUCAGGCACCCCUGCUAUCUGUCUGUCACUGAAUGUUCUGUUCCUGCCUUUCUCAACAGCUCUGGAGAGCCAAUGCCAUUUUCAAGCAACCCACCUGGAUGUGAGUUUAGCAUUGUCCUUGUACCAGGUUUUGAAGAUAAAGCUCAACUUCACCCACGUUAGUUGUUUUUGUUGUGGGUAGGAUGUGGGUGGGUUGUUCAAGGAGGCGGAUAUUCCUGCUGAGACUAUCAGAAAUAAGGUGGUGGUGUUGAAACAGAAAGAAAAGUUUAGGCUUCCAAAUUUUCAAAACAAACAAACAACCAAAAACACAUGACAAAAAUAUAAAAAUAAAUAAAGAUAAUAUGCACA
rnacentral:lncRNA from 1 species